rnacentral:misc_RNA from 1 species
GAAAUGCGAUAACUAGUGUGAAUUGCAGAAUUCCGUGAAUCAUCGAGUCUUUGAACGCACAGUGCGCCCCCUGGUAUUCCGGGGGGCAUGCCUGUCCGAGCGUCAUUGCUGCCCAUCAAGCACGGCUUGUGUGUUGGGUCGUCGUCCCCUCUCCGGGGGGGACGGGCCCCAAAGGCAGCGGCGGCACCGCGUCCGAUCCUCGAGCGUAUGGGGCUUUGUCACCCGCUCUGUAGGCCCGGCCGGCGCUUGCCGAACGCAAAUCAAUCUUUUUCCAGGUUGACCUCGGAUCAGGUAGGGAUACCCGCUGAACUUAAGC